GGUAGGCUAGGCACAAAGCAAGCCAGAGCUGCAGGCUCAGUCUUAUCUCUUCCAUCGCCGUCAAUUGCUAGGAUUUGCACGCCUCGGCGGCUGCGGCGCCGCGCUCCUUCCUCCUCCUUCCCAACCUCCCGGUCGUCGUCGUCACCUUCUCAGAGCAAAUCUGGUUGGCUCCAAACCGAGCGUCAGUAUCCUUGCGGGCUUGCACCUCUGCCAUUGGCGUUGCACAGAUUUUGUGCGCACAUAUCUCACGAAUGGAGGCCAAAAUGCGGGAGGAAGCACGUGGAGUGGCUUGCCCGAAUGCUGCCAGUGGAGAGUCAGCAACACUCGACGACGGAGACUACGAGCU